rnacentral:rRNA from 1 species
GACGAACGCUGGCGGCGUGCCUAAUACAUGCCAGUCGAGCGAACAGGCGAGGAGCUUGUUCCGCUGAUGUUAGCGGCGGACGGGUGAGUAACGCGUGGAUAACCUACCUAUAAGACGGGGAUAACUUCGGGAAACGGGAGCUAAUACCGGAUAAUAUCUUGAACCACAUGGUUCAAUAGUGAAAGACGGUCUUGCUGUCACUUAUAGAUGGAUCCCGGCUGCUUUGGCUAGUUGGUAAGGUAACGGCUUACCAAGGGAAGGAUGCAUAGCCGACCGGAGGGGGGGAUGGGCCACAUGGGAACGGAGCCCGGGCCCAGACUCCUACGGGAGGCACCAGUAGGGAACCUUCGGCAAUGGGGGAAAGCCUGACGGAGCAAGCCGGCGUGAGUGAUGAAGGUCUUCGGAUCGUAAAACCCUGUUAUUGGGGAAGAACAUAUGUGUAAGGAACUGUGCACAUAUUGACGGUACCUAAUCAGAAAGCCACGGCUAACUACGUG